rnacentral:rRNA from 1 species
AACGCGAAGAACCUUACCUGGGCUUGAACUACCGGUGGUAGCGGACUGGAAACAGACCGCGACCCGCAAGGGAGCCGGCAGAGGUGCUGCAUGGUUGUCGUCAGCUCGUGUCGUGAGAUGUUGGGUUAAGUCCCGCAACGAGCGCAACCCCUCUCUCAUGUUGCUACUCCCGCAAGGGAGGCACUCUUGAGAUACUGCCUUCGAUAAGAAGGAGGAAGGUGGGGACGACGUCAAAUCCUCAUGGCCCUUAUGUCCAGGGCUACACACGUGCUACAAUGGCCGGUACAACGGGAAGCAAUACCGCAAGGUGGAGCCAAACCCUGAAAGCCGGCCCCAGUUCAGAUUGUGGGCUGCAACUCGCCCACAUGAAGGUGGAAUCGCUAGUAAUCGCGAAUCAGCAGGUCGCGGUGAAUACGUUCCCGGGCCUUGUACACACCGAGUAUA